rnacentral:rRNA from 1 species
AUUGAACGCUGGCGGCAUGCUUUACACAUGCAAGUCGAACGGUAACAGGUUAAGCUGACGAGUGGCGAACGGGUGAGUAAUGCAUCGGAACGUGCCCGAUCGUGGGGGAUAACGCAGCGAAAGCUGCGCUAAUACCGCAUACGAUCUGAGGAUGAAAGCGGGGGACCGUAAGGCCUCGCGCGAUCGGAGCGGCCGAUGUCAGAUUAGGUAGUUGGUGGGGUAAAGGCUCACCAAGGCGAGGAUCGGUAGCUGGUCUGAGAGGAUGAUCAGCCACACUGGGACUGGGACACGGCCCAGAAUCCUACGGGAGGCAGCAGUGGGGAAUUUUGGACAAUGGGGGCAACCCUGAUCCAGCCAUUCCGCGUGAGUGAAGAAGGCCUUCGGGUUGUAAAGCUCUUUCGGCAGGAACGAAACGGUGAGCUCUAACAUAGCUUGCUAAUGACGGUACCUGAAGAAGAAGCACCGGCUAACUACGUGCCAGCCGCCGCAGUAAUAC